rnacentral:rRNA from 1 species
UACGUAGGGGGGCAAGCGUUGUCCGGAUUCAUUGGGCGUAAAGAGCGUGUAGGCGGCCAGGUAGGUCGGUUGUGAAAACUGGAGGCUCAACCUUCAGACGUCGACCGAAACCAUCUGGCUAGAGUCCGGGACAGGGAGAGCGAGUACUUCGGUGUAGCGGUGAAAUGCGCAGAUAUCAGGAAGGAACACCCGGUGGCGAAAGGCGGGUCUCUG